rnacentral:lncRNA from 1 species
GCCUAAAAGGUGACACCAACACUCAUUUUUCGCACGAACCUAAACUGCACGAACCAAAGCUCCUGGCCCACAAGAGCAUAAACUGUGUACGGCAAAAUCACCAUCAAAAUCAUUGUCAAAAUCACCAUCAAAACCGCCAAAAGCAAUCCAUCACAUAUUUAAACUACGUUUUGACUUGAUCUCUUCCUUUGGAAGGGUACGUAGGCAACUCGAGCAUUCAAUUUCGAGUUCAGUCACAUCAAAAUCAUUGAUAAAGGUCAAUUUUAUUAAAAAAAAAAUUGCAAUUUUCUUUGUACAAAAUUAAAUUACAGUUUCUUAGAAAAAAAAAUGAAUACAUAUGUUAUUAUGUAUUUUCUGCAAAAAAAAUA